GACGAACGCUGGCGGCGUGCUUAACACAUGCAAGUCGAGCGGAAAGGCCUUUCGGGGUACUCGAGCGGCGAACGGGUGAGUAACACGUGAGUAAUCUGCCCUUGGCUUUGGGAUAACUACCGGAAACGGUGGCUAAUACCGGAUACGACACAGGUCUGCAUGGGCUCUGUGUGGAAAGUUUUUUCGGCCAGGGAUGUGCUCGCGGCCUAUCAGCUUGUUGGUGGGGUAAUGGCCUACCAAGGCUUCGACGGGUAGCCGGCCUGAGAGGGUGACCGGCCACACUGGGACUGAGACACGGCCCAGACUCCUACGGGAGGCAGCAGUGGGGAAUAUUGGACAAUGGGCGAAAGCCUGAUCCAGCAACGCCGCGUGAGGGAUGACGGCCUUCGGGUUGUAAACCUCUUUCAGCAGGGACGAAGCGCAAGUGACGGUACCUGCAGAAGAAGCACCGGCCAACUACGUGCCAGCAGCCGCCGUAAAAC
rnacentral:rRNA from 1 species